rnacentral:lncRNA from 1 species
CUAGGUCACUAUGUCAAAUAAUAGAAAAAUGACGUCAUACUCAAAACUGGAUCAUGUGGGAAGAGGUGAGCGAUUCAGGACCAUCAUGGUCGUCUUGUUAUUUAUAUGACCAACCCAUAAGUACGGUAAAAUCAUUAUCUUUUUCUCAGUAAGGUCCUUUAACUUUCUUGAUCUGGUGGUCUCUGACCUAUAGAGGAAUGUUUCUUAUUACAUUUUUACAGGUUCUGUUUCAAGCAUCAUCUAAUACCAACCCACUUUGCGAAGUUUCAUUAGGAACUGGAAAGUUUUAACAAGGAUAUGGAUAUUUUACUAAGCAAGGAACAGAGUAACAGACUUGCGAUUUUGCAGAGAAGCGCAGCCUUACAAGACUUAAAGGAAGCCAAAACGUACCAUCAAGCAGAGCUGUCGCAAACGAAACCAGGUCACGUGUUUAACCGAAUGCUGCAGGCGCCCUGUUUUAUAAAAUGUUAAGUGUAAAUUGUCCGUCAGACUGGAACUAUUUGAGAAACUGAAACAUUUCAUUUCAAAUGUGAAUCGGCUGACAUAUAAACCCCUAUGAGCAUGCCCUGCAAAGUUCUCUUCCAUACCAGUUUCCAUAUAAAACAAGCUUCGUCGUUGCCAGCAACACAUGUCGUCGACGUCCAAAACAAAUAAACAUAGAAAGCAAUUAUUACAUAUCUCGUCUCCUUAUUUCCACAAUGCCGUGACUAGCUCUUUGAUAGUUUUUGAAAACGGCGUUUAAAGUUUAAGUGUCAAUGACUUUACACUACCCACAGGCUACAGCCUUGUUGAACUGAAAUUUAACCUGUUUAAUUUCAUUUCUACAAGGCCACAAAUACACCAUCAUACAGAAGUCAUAGAGACAAUGUCAUACCUAUUGCCAUUAAAAUCUCCAUUUUGCCAAACAUGGAUUUACGGCACUCUGAAAUUAAGGCGACGACCUUAUUAUAAAGAGUAACAACUUCUCAGAAUGAUUGGAAAUGCUACGUAUAAGAUAAGGGGUCACGUCAGACUACUUUAGUCUGUCUGAGCCUUGCUUUCAUUCUUUUAACCCUUAGCCUGCUGGCGGCAAGUGAUUCUGCCUUUGCGACCAGUGCAGACCAAGAUCAGCCUGCACAUCCGCACUGUUCGCUAUUUAGUCAGUAAAUUUUCAGUGAACACCCCUUCGAAUAAUAAAUGGUAUUGUCCAAAUUGAAUGAUGGACCAUUCCAUUUGAGAAAUUUAGCAGGGUAAGGGUUAAUGAAAGGAGAAGUCUUUAUUUAACCAGUAUUUAGCUCGGACCCCGUGGUAUUUAGGUGACAGCAUUUUAGCUACUUUAUAGACAAGAAGUUAAUGGCACUUGAAACUCGGGUUUCACCCUAAGGUCAAUAAAAAUUUACUAGUGGCAAUAACCUCUUCUUGAACGCCACUGCCGUUUAUUAAUAAUGUAUGAUUGUACAUAGAUUAGCUUAUAGACUAUGCUAUUUUUUAUUCUAAUUUCUUAAAGAUGUGAAUAGAGCCAGUCUAUAUCCUAGGUCAAAUAUCAUAUUACAAUCAGUUCAUGAAAAAGACUGACAUUUGUCACUACAAAAUAAGCUAAAAGAAAAAUUCAAAAAAUCUAAAGUCUUGUGAUAAAUUCUUUAUUAUCAGUCUAUAUUGUACAGUAGUUUGAAUGUAGCGCAUAAGUUAAGUAUAAACUACUAUUUUUGUCUUACAGAAAAUUUGUCUAGCAUUGGCAGCCAAUUAAAGAAGUACUCACCAAUAAAACGGAUUGAUUCUGGAACCUUCAGUCACGUGGUACUGACACGUAUAAAGCUCAACACGUGUAACAGAAAGGUUGCAAUACAAAUCACACAGGAAACCUUAUGAUUUCAAAAUAGAUAUAUGGAGUUUAGGUAUCACAAUAAUCGAAAUAAUGGAAGGCGACCCUCCGUACAUCAAAGAGAGGCCGACAGACGCCAUUAAGCUAAUAAAAAAGAAUGGAUAGCCAAAAAUUGAAAAGCUCUGUACUUUAAGGAAUGAACAAAAAGACUUUCUGGACAAGAGCUUGGAAGUGGAUAUUCACAAAAGAGCAACAGCACGUGAACUUUUAAUGCUUGGGUUUCUUACUGGUGGAAACGAAGUUGUUAACUGCACACAAUUGAAUAUUACUUUAUCUAUUGCAUAUAUUUAAUCUGAAUUGAAAGGAAUGCUGAGGUUAAACAUCUUUCCUCAAAGUUCCAGACUGAGCCUGUUUGCGAACGAUUUGUUUCGUAUUUAUUCCAGUAAUAGUACCAUAGAUAACAUUCUUUGAUCUAUAAAUAUAUAAUGUAAUAAAAUAUAUUACAACACAA